GUGGGUUCAAACAGCCAGCCUUUCCGCUAGUAGUCAAGCACUUAACCUUUUGUGCCUCCCAGGAACCUACUCCAAACCUUAGCUGGGUGCAAUGCCCAGGGGUGGAAAAACCUUCAGUGCUCCAAACAAAAUGUCAAUUUAAAAUAUUUACGUCUAUUUUGAAGAAGUGAACAACUCUAGGCAACAAAUCCUUUUGCAAAUUAAAAGAUUUCCAAAUAUUUUCUUUCAAUAGAAUUUAAAGAGGACUUAAUCCGGUUGUCACCUGAUGAAUCAUUAUAUGGUAGUGAGUGAUAUUGUUGAAACUCCUUCCAUCUACCAAUUUAUGGGAACAAGUUUUCUUAGGUUACAGUUAUAAAAAUAAAAAAGGAAGUAUUGAAAUGAAACCCAAAGUAUUCAUUCUUUGCAACUAUUUAAACUUAUGAUUAAAAACUAUUAUAGUUUAAAUGCACAAGAGGAACAUAGUUUUUCAAAAUUCUUUUAGGAGGUAUAGGAGCAAAACUUUUUUUUCAGAUUAUCUUUUCCUCUUUGUGUAAAUUUUGGUAGUUGGUCUUUUUCAAGGAAUUGGUUGUUUUCAUCUAAGUUAUAAAAUUUGUGGGCAAGAGUUCAUAAUAUUCAUUAUCUACUUAUUGUUUACAGCAUCAGUAGUAGUAAUCCCUCUUUCAUUUCUGAUAUUUAUAAUUUGUGUCUUCUCUCUCUCUUUUUUUUCUUUUUUUCUCAUCCUAGCUAGAGAUUUAUCAAUUACAUUGAUCUUUUCAAAGGCACAGGAGCAAAACUUUUGACCUUAUUAACGGGUCUGCCUUGUGGCCGGAACUGACACUAAAGGAAGCAGCACCCCCUUGUGGCCAGCACAGAGGCUGCAGCAGAAAUAAGCAUGGGAUCCCAGAAACGAGAUUUAAAGGAAAUACGUGCCAGAUACAAUUGACUUGCCAGCAAAGGAACCUGGAAAUGAAGUGAAAAACAAGUGUGCCGGUUCAGAGAAGGUAUGAGAGUGGGCGUCGAGCUGGGAAGCUGCAUGCUUACACAAGCAGCUGGAGAAAAGCAAAAAGGGUCAGAGCUCUGCAGUUUCCCUUCCCAAGACUGUCCGGUUCCCACGUGCGUUAGGGAGGAGUCUCUGUACGGGGGCGGCCAGGUGUGCGCCGUGGAGGAGAGAACAGCACGUUUGCAAAGCAAAGAAUAGGGGUACGCGAGGUCUGAAACUGGAAUAACAAGAUUUCAUCCCCAACCGCAGCGUCCCGUGGGGCGGGAAACCUGAAGCCAGCGCCCAAAAAGUUCCAAACAUCCUCUCGUCAGGAUUUGCUCUCAAACUGCAGACAAAAACGCAGAGUACUCAAGAGCGUAUAUCCCGUAGGUGUGCGGUUUAAAGGAAUAAUAAAAUGAACACCCACGGGCACACCAUGCAGUUUAAGAAAAAGGAUGUUCUCAAAAUUAAUCCUGUGUGCUCUUCCUCAGUCUCGCGCCUCACUCCCCAUCCGAGGGAGGAACUACGAUCCGGAAUUUUGUGUUAAUAGUUUCUCCACUGAUUUUAUCUUUUUCAAUCUAGGAACAAAUUCUUUAUUUUAAAAAAAUGACAGACGUACAAACAUACGAAACAUGAAAUCACAUCUCUAACCCGGACGGGGUUUGAUCCCAGCCAGCCCAGCCUCCGCUUCGCCACCUAGUGGUGGUCCAGAGCCAUCGUGUGAACACUAAGGUAUUUCCAGAAUAGAAAGGGUGGUGACUCACUUAUUUGCAUACCCAAAAUGCACUGCACAUAGUACAAGAUUAAAACGGCAAAAUUUUUAACUUUUACUAGACUCGUAUUUCCAAAAUACAAGUUCUAUUACAAAAUUCUGUAAAAACUUUUGUUCAGGCAUUGGGUUGCCCCACAGCUAGUCACCAUCAGUGAACUAGGACUUUCUGUUACCCGAGGUAUGAGUUACAAAAGUAGCGGAGUAUACUCUGGUUUCUCUUCAGAUCGUAUAAAUCUUUCGCCUUUUACUAAAGAUUUCCGUGGAGAGGAACAACUCUGAGUCUUAAACCAAUUUUUUGAGGCCUUGUUCCGGCAAGGCUAUUUAAGUUGUUUAACGAUAGACAUGAUAUUUACGUAUUUGGUUAGUUGUAGUGGUUUGGUCUACUGUUAAAUAGUGAUUGUGUUUUAAGCAGUAAUAGAAUUAAAUUUAUUUCUUUAGCGUUUAAGAGUUAAAAUUUAUCAAGCAUGAAAUUGUAAAACUGAUUUGUGGGAAACACUUUAUAGCAGUUUUAAUUUAUGUAUCUGGUAAGAGAAGAUAAAGAUUCUGUAGACUUUUCAGAUGUUCGUGAUUGUACACGAUUUUAACGGCAGCGGGAUUGACCCCAGAGAUGAGUUCAGAGCGAUUGUACCGCGCGUGAGGUUGCCAUGAGUCAGAAUUGAAUCAAGGGCAACGGGUAAGCGUUCUAGUAGCUACUCAUGUGUUACCUUCCAGACUGUCAGCCUU